CUAAGUUUGAUGGCGACCGGCGCACGGGUGAGUAACACGUAUCCAACCUGCCGAUGACUCGGGGAUAGCCUUUCGAAAGAAAGAUUAAUACCCGAUGGCAUAGUUCUUCCGCAUGGUGGAACUAUUAAAGAAUUUCGGUCAUCGAUGGGGAUGCGUUCCAUUAGGUUGUUGGCGGGGUAACGGCCCACCAAGCCUUCGAUGGAUAGGGGUUCUGAGAGGAAGGUCCCCCACAUUGGAACUGAGACACGGUCCAAACUCCUACGGGAGGCAGCAUG
rnacentral:rRNA from 1 species